GCCUUCGUGGUGUAGUGGUCAGCACACUCCACCUGUAACCGAGAGGUCAGUGGUUCGAUUCCCGGCGAAGGCG
rnacentral:tRNA from 1 species